ACUCAAAGGAAUAGACGGGGGCCCGCACAAGCGGAGGAACAUGUGGUUUAAUUCGAUGAUACGCGAGGAACCUUACCCGGGCUCGAACGGCACAGGAAUAAUGUGGAAACAUAUUAGCCAGCAAUGGCCUGUGUCGAGGUGCUGCAUGGUUGUCGUCAGCUCGUGCCGUGAGGUGUCGGCUUAAGUGCCAUAACGAGCGCAACCCUUAUCUUUAGUUACCAUCAGGUUAAGCUGGGGACUCUAGAGAGACUGCCACCGUAAGGUGUGAGGAAGGUGGGGAUGACGUCAAAUCAGCACGGCCCUUACGUCCGGGGCGACACACGUGUUACAAUGGGGGGUACAGAAGGAUGCUACCUGGCGACAGGAUGCUAAUCUAUAAAACCUCUCCCAGUUCGGAUUGGAGUCUGCAACUCGACUCCAUGAAGCUGGAUUCGCUAGUAAUCGCGCAUCAGCCAUGGCGCGGUGAAUACGUUCCCGGGCCUUGUACACACCGCCCGU
rnacentral:rRNA from 1 species